rnacentral:rRNA from 1 species
CACAGGUGCUGCAUGGCUGUCGUCAGCUCGUGUCGUGAGAUGUUGGGUUAAGUCCCGCAACGAGCGCAACCCUUGUCAUUAGUUUGCUACAUUCAGUUGGGCACUCUAAUGAGACUGCCGGUGACAAGCCGGAGGAAGGUGGGGAUGACGUCAAGUCCUCAUGGCCCUUAUAGGUGGGGCUACACACGUCAUACAAUGGCUGGUACAAAGGGUUGCCAACCCGCGAGGGGGAGCUAAUCCCAUAAAGCCAGUCGUAGUCCGGAUCGUAGUCUGCAACUCGACUACGUGAAGUCGGAAUCGCUAGUAAUCGUGGAUCAGAAUGUCACGGUGAAUACGUUCCCGGGUCUU